rnacentral:rRNA from 1 species
GUUCGAUUCCGGAGAGGGAGCCUGAGAAACGGCUACCACAUCCAAGGAAGGCAGCAGGCACGCAAAUUACCCACUCCCGGCACGGGGAGGUAGUGACAAAAAAUAACGAUACGGGACUCAUCCGAGGCCCCGUAAUCGGAAUGAGAACACCCUAAAUCCUUUAACGAGGAUCUAUUGGAGGGCAAGUCUGGUGCCAGCAGCCGCGGUAAUUCCAGCUCCAAUAGCGUAUAUUAAAGUUGUUGCGGUUAAAAAGCUCGUAGUUGGUUCUGCGUGCCACGCUGUCGGUUCACCGCCUGUCGGUGCAACUGGCAUGCCGUGGCAUGUCCUGUCGGUGGCCGACAGGCUUCGGGGCGCGCCCUAUGCGUUCACACGUGUAGGUCGCCGCGCACCGUUGUCCUCGUAGGCCGACUCAAUCCUACCGCGGUGCUCUUUACCGAGUGUCGAGGUAGGCCGACACUGUUUACUUUGAACAAAUUAGAGUGCUUCAAGCAGGCUCUGAAAGCAGCCUGAAUAGUGGUGCAUGGAAUAAUGGAACAGGACCUUGGUUCUA